GAUGAACGCUAGCGGCAGGCCUAAUACAUGCAAGUCGAGGGGUAGUGGUUGCUUGCAGCCAUGAGACCGGCGCACGGGUGCGUAACGCGUAUGCAACCUACCUUCAUCUGGGGGAUAGCCCGGAGAAAUCCGGAUUAAUACCGCAUAAAAUCACAAUACGGCAUCGUACAAUGAUCAAACAUUUAUGGGAUGGAGAUGGGCAUGCGUGUCAUUAGUUAGUUGGCGGGGUAACGGCCCACCAAGACCGCGAUGACUAGGGGAUCUGAGAGGAUGACACCCCACACUGGUACUGAGACACGGACCAGACUCCGACGGGAGGCAGCAGUAAGGCAUAUUGGUCAAUGGGCGCAAGCCUGAACCAGCCAUGCCGCGUGCAGGAAGACGGCCCUCUGGGUUGUAAACUGCUUUUAUUCGGGAAUAAACCUGCUUACGUGUAAGUAGCUGAAUGUACCGAAGGAAUAAGGAUCGGCUAACUCCGUGCCAGCCGCCGCGGUAAUAC
rnacentral:rRNA from 1 species